rnacentral:tRNA from 1 species
GCGCUCAUGGUGGCCCGGCGGAUGCCCCCUCAGAUCACCACCCUCUCAAGGUGGCGGCACGGGUUCGAAUCCCGUUGGGGGUG